UGGGGAAUAUUGCACAAUGGGCGAAAGCCUGAUGCAGCAACGCCGCGUGAGUGAUGAAGGCCUUCGGGUUGUAAAGCUCUGUCUUCUGGGACGAUAAUGACGGUACCAGAGGAGGAAGCCACGGCUAACUACGUGCCAGCAGCCGCGGUAAUACGUAGGUGGCCAGCGUUGUCCGGAUUUACUGGGCGUAAAGGAUGCGUAGGCGGAUACUUAAGUCAGAUGUGAAAAUCCCGGGCUUAACUUGGGAACUGCAUUUGAAACUGGGUAUCUAGAGUGCGGGAGAGGAAAGUGGAAUUCCUAGUGUAGCGGUGAAAUGCGUAGAGAUUAGGAAGAACACCAGUGUCGAAGGCGACUUUCUGGACCGUAACUGACGCUGAGUCAUGAAAGCGUGGGGAGCAAACA
rnacentral:rRNA from 1 species